rnacentral:rRNA from 1 species
GACGAGGGACCUAGCGUUGUUCGGAAUCAUUGGGCGUAAAGCGGGUGUAGGCGGACUUAUAAGUCAGGUGUGAAAUCCCAGGGCUCAACCCUGGAAGUGCAUUUGAUACUGUAAGUCUUGAAUGUGGUAGAGGUUACUGGAAUUGCUGGUGUAGUGGUGAAAUACGUAGAUAUCAGCAGGAACACCGGAGGCGAAGGCGGGUAACUGGGCCAACAUUGACGCUGAGACCCGAAAGCGUGGGGAUCAAACAGG